rnacentral:rRNA from 1 species
UACGUAGGGUGCGAGCGUUUGUCCGGAAUUAUUGGGCGUAAAGAGCUUGUAGGCGGCUUGUCGCGUCUGCUGUGAAAAUCCGAGGCUCAACCUCGGACUUGCAGUGGGUACGGGCAGGCUAGAGUGUGGUAGGGGAGACUGGAAUUCCUGGUGUAGCGGUGAAAUGCGCAGAUAUCAGGAGGAACACCGAUGGCGAAGGCAGGUCGUCUGGGCCACUACUGACGCUGAGAAGCGAAAGCAUGGGGGAGCGAACAGG